UAGCAUGCAAUUACGGGUACGGGGAUUAGGGUUCGAUUCCGGAGAGGGAGCCUGAGAAACGGCUACCACAUCCAAGGAAGGCAGCAGGCGCGCAAAUUACCCAAUCCCGACACGGGGAGGUAGUGACAAUAAAUAACAAUAUGGGGCUCUCACGAGUUUCGUAAUUGGAAUGAGUACAAUUUAAAUCUCUUAACGAGGAACAAUUGGAGGGCAAGUCUGGUGCCAGCAGCCGCGGUAAUUCCAGCUCCAAUAGCGUAUAUUAAAGUUGUUGCAGUUAAAAAGCUCGUAGUUGAAUUUCGGGGUUUAUCCGUUGGUCGGGCUUUUGGGUCUGUACUGGCGUGAUGGAUUCCUACCUUCUGAAUAACCAGCAUGUCAUUAAUUUGGUGCGUUGGGGAAGCAGGACUGUUACCUUGAAAAAAUUAGAGUGCUUAAAGCAGGCUAUUGCCUGAAUACAUUAGCAUGGAAUAAUGAAAUAGGACGCAUGGUUCUAUUUUGUUGGUUUCUAGGAUCACCGUAAUGAUUAAUAGGGAUAGUUGGGGGCAUUAGUAUUCAAUUGUCAGAGGUGAAAUUCUUGGAUUUAUUGAAGACUAACUUCUGCGAAAGCAUUUGCCAAGGAUGUUUUCAUUAAUCAAGAACGAAAGUUAGGGGAUCGAAGACGAUCAGAUACCGUCGUAGUCUUAACCAUAAACUAUGCCGACUAGGGAUCGGACGAUGUUAAUUUUUUAAUGACUCGUUCGGCGCCUUACGGGAAACCAAAUUUUUGGGGGUUUCA
rnacentral:rRNA from 1 species